AAAAUCUCGAAGAGUUUGACAAAUUUUUAUCUAAAGAUGUAAAUCUGUCGGCAGCGUGUUACUAUUUGAAGAGUUUGCCGUUAGGUGAUAAUGAAAAAAUUGUAGCAUCAAGACUUAUGACCAAAUUGAUGACUAAUUCCUUAGCGAAACAAUUCAACUUUGAUGGUCAUAAUCCUCAAAGGCUAAAGUUAAUAAAAGGCCAUUUAAGAAACUGAAACUAUGGGAAUUAUUUCAAGGAGUUAUGCUAUUAAAAUUUCCUACCAGUGAUUUGGAAGAUGCCUUAAAUGCAGUCAGAAAUUGGCUACGAAACGCUGCUGGGCGUAAGCAAUGAAAUGUGCAAUUUCAUUUUUUUAUUUUUAACAGAAUCUAAUGUAUAAGAAAAGCAGAGGUAAAAAGUGCUCGCAUACGAGAAUAUUGCGUUGUAAUAUCUUAUUAUUCUUAGACGACUCUUUACAAGGUCUUUUUCUCGAUACAAAUUAGCACGGGGGAGGUUUCCCAUUAAAGGGAAGAGGUCAUUUAAUAUUCGUCAUAAAAUGCAAUUAAUUAUUUUUUUUUCUUGAAUGUGAAAUAUGAUCUCUAUUCAUGUGCAAUUUGCGAAGUCUUAUGUCAUUUUUAUUUUGUUAUUGUAUUUUUGAUAUUGCUGCUUUAUUUUGAAUAUUAUUUGUCUUAUUUUUUAUUUAUGUAACUGAUAAGACAUUGUCAGGUUUAAAUUUGAUUUGAAUUAUUACAUAUAAAAGUUUUUAGUUGAAGUAUGUAUAUGUAGAAUAUA